GACAGAGGAUGCAAGCGUUAUCCGGAAUGAUUGGGCGUAAAGCGUCUGUAGGUGGCUUUUUAAGUCCGCCGUCAAAUCCCAGGGCUCAACCCUGGACAGGCGGUGGAAACUACCAAGCUGGAGUACGGUAGGGGCAGAGGGAAUUUCCGGUGGAGCGGUGAAAUGCGUAGAGAUCGGAAAGAACGCCCGUGGCGAAAGCGAGGUCCUGGACGUCAUCUGACGCUGAGACGCGAAAGCUAGGGGAGCGAACGGG
rnacentral:rRNA from 1 species